AGCGAACGCUGGCGGCAGGCCUAACACAUGCAAGUCGAACGAAGUCUUCGGACUUAGUGGCGGACGGGUGAGUAACACGUGGGAACGUACCUUUUGGUUCGGAACAACUCAGGGAAACUUGAGCUAAUACCGGAUGAGCCCUUAGGGGGAAAGAUUUAUCGCCGAAAGAGCGGCCCGCGUUAGAUUAGCUAGUUGGGGAGGUAAAGGCUCACCAAGGCUACGAUCUAUAGCUGGUCUGAGAGGAUGAUCAGCCACACUGGGGCUGAGACACGGCCCAGACUCCUACGGGAGGCAGCAGUGGGGAAUCUUGCGCAAUGGGCGAAAGCCUGACGCAGCCAUGCCGCGUGAAUGAUGAAGGUCUUAGGAUUGUAAAAUUCUUUUACCAGGGACGAUAAUGACGGUACCUGGAGAAAAAGCCCCGGCUAACUUCGUGCCAGCCGCCGCGGUAA
rnacentral:rRNA from 1 species